ensembl:lncRNA
CCCCUCAGACACUAUAAACCCGCAGGCAGGGUAACCCCACAGGCAGGAUAACCCCACAGACACUAUAACCCCACAGGCAGGAUAACCCCACAGACACUAUAACCCCUCAGACACUAUAAACCCACAGGCAGGAUAAGACCUCAGACACUAUAACCCCUCAGACACUAUAACCCCACAGGCAGGAUAACCCCUCAGACACUAUAACCCCUCAGACACUAUAAUCCCACAGGCAGGAUAACCCCACAGACAGAAUAACCCCACAGACACUAUAAACCCACAGGCAGGAUAAGACCUCAGACACUAUAACCCCUCAGACACUAUAUCCCAACAGACACUAUAACCCCACAGGCAGGAUAACCCCUCAGACCCUACAAACCCGCAGGCAGGAUAACCCCACAGGCAGGAUAACCCCUCAGACACUAUAACCCCACAGACAGGAUAACCCCUCAGACACUAUAACCCCUCAGACACUAUAACACCUCAGACACCAUGAACCCACAGGCAGGAUAACCCCACAAGCAGGAUAACUUCUCAGACACUAUAACCCCACAGACACUAUAACCCCACAGACAGGAUAACCCCACAGACACUAUAACCCCACAG